GACGGAGGGUGCUAGCGUUGUUCGGAAUCACUGGGCGUAAAGGGCGCGUAGGCGGCCUUGCAAGUCGGUUGGUGAAAGCCCGGGGCUCAGCCCCGGAGGUGCGGCCGAGACUGCAGGGCUGGAGGCCGGAAGAGGAGGGUGGAAUACCCAGUGUAGAGGUGAAAUUCGUAGAUAUUGGGUGGAACACCGGUGGCGAAAGCGGCUCUCUGGUCCGGACCUGACGCUGAGGCGCGAAAGCGUGGGGAGCAAACAGG
rnacentral:rRNA from 1 species